rnacentral:lncRNA from 1 species
CUCCAGAUGCUUUCGAAAAUGUGGUCACUGGCGUCAGCAUCUGCAGUUUUUGUUAAUCCUGAAGACUCUCACCCAUGAGACUGAAGCAGAAACCUGUCCCUGUCCCUCACUUGGAGUAUGAGUCACUCAGUGUGGGCGAGGUUUGGAGAUGGAAGCUGGCUCUCUCUCUCUGUUGGUAACCAAGAUGGAUCCCUGAGCCUUGAGGGGAGGGGUGUGAUGAAGACGUCAAUUGAACUCAGGUCAUCCGGCUUGGGUGGCAGAGGCCUUUACCCGCUGAGCCAUCUCUCUGGAACUAGACUUUGUUGUUGCUAAAGUUUUCAGUUGAUUAAUAUCUUUCAUAUUCUGUGACCUGCAACCAUCAAUAAAUUUCACCAGUGCC